GCAUUGGUGGUUCAGUGGUAGAAUUCUCGCCUGCCACGNGGGAGGCCCGGGUUCAAUUCCCGGCCAAUGCA
rfam:Amazona aestiva scaffold_1147, whole genome shotgun sequence.